rnacentral:rRNA from 1 species
CAGCUCUCCGAGUAGUGUGGACGUUUAUUGGGCCUAAAGCAUCCGUAGCUUGCUAGAUAAGUCCUCUGUUAAAUCCACCGAUUCAAUCGUUGGAUUGCGGGGGAUACUGUUUGGCUAGGGGACGGGAGAGGCCGACGGUAUUUCCGGGGUAGGGGUGAAAUCCUAUAAUCCCGGGAGGACCACCAGUGGCGAAGGCUGUCGGCUAGAACGCGCCCGACGGUGAGGGAUGAAAGCUGGGGGAGCGAACCGGAUUAGAUACCCGAGUAGUCC